UGCUCAGUGUCUGCUUUGCUCUUCAUAUUUCAUUUGUAAUAAAGAAACAUCAUCAGUGUGUCUCUUGUUGCAGGGAUCAAAUGUGGCAACGUCUGCAGGGAGUGAUGGGCAUCGUUUUUCGGCCCGUCUCCCACCUGAUCAGAUGAAGAGGAGGAAGAGGAGACUAAAUCAGUGAUCUAAAAGUCUGAACUUUGUGUCUGGACUUUGGGCUGACUGGUUGUUUGAAAACCAUGUUGAGUAUAAUGAUCUGUAGCUCUUUUUGUGACAGCUUGAUUUGGAUACUUAUGGAUAAAACAAAUGUAAAUGAUAAGAUUUGUUAGUGACAUAAGAUGAUGAAGUCAACUCAGCCUUAAAAACAACUGUUGUUUUCUAUUAUCUUACUGUCAUCUGUGUACUCAUUCUUUAAUUUUCUCUGCUGGGAUUCUUUUGAUUGAUUGAAGUCUUUAUUUCAAAUUUGUAUUUUCUUUUCCCCCCCUUUGUUUCAGGAUAAAAAAACAAACAAAACAGAUCCACAAAAAGAAAAGUAAAUAAGACAACAGAACAUUUGAAUUUCAUGUUCGUAAAGAAGUGGGAAGAAGUGUGAAUUUAUAGAAUCCCACCCCCUCUCUGUUAAUCUGUAGUUAAUAGUUGAACAGGCUUCCUUAUUUAAUCUUCAUUUACGAAUAAAUAAAUAACGAAUCUGCAAUACACAUUUAUAUAUAUAAACCAAUAAACAUACAAAAUAUAUAAAUUAAAUACAAAUGUGUUUCUGCAAAAUAUAAUUUCAUUUAUCAACCAUGCACAGGUGUAAUUAAUUUAUACUUGUCCAAGAUGGGCACACCUCCAUCGCAGUAGAGAGUCUAUCAUUGUUUGUCUAUCAUUUAUCAACCAUUGACAUAUUUGAACAUGUAUUGAUUUCUUUUAUCUUCCAUAUUCAUGUUCUUCUCCCUUAAUUAAUGAUAUACAGUUUGUAGUAAUACAUUUAAGUUAGUGUUUUUUCUCCAUUACCUAUUUACCCUUCACCAUACCUGUCAACAUAUUUACAUAUAUACCUUCAUUCCUUUUAGAAAAACUAACAUAAGAAAAAAAUUAACAACCGUUAUAAUCACCAUCAUAACCACGCAGCAAAUGUUUAGUCCCUUCUGCAUCCUUAUACUUUCUGAAAAUGUUUUUAUUUUUUUUGUACAUUUUGUAAAACUUGUUUGUGCUUGGACUUGGCUUCAGCUCCACAUUUAAACUGUUACAAAGUUUUAUGCCAACAAUAGAAAUAGAAAAACUUCUGAAUGUUGUGCGUGUGGCCAGAAUUUUGAGAUUCAGUUGUCUCCAUAUUGUAACCCCCCUCUCUAUCAAAGAAUAGUUUUGGGAUAUUUGCUGGUAGUAAAUAGUUUUUUUUCUUUCUACAGUAUUUGUGCUAUUUGAAAUUCUGUGAGUUUGAGUGUUUUUGACUGCAAGAAUAAUGAGUGAGUGUGAUCCCGAUAUCCAGCAUUAUGAACGAAGCCUAUGGCUCUUUUCUGAAGUACGGAGAGUGAGUGCGCUUAACUUUUAUAUGUGUUGCCCCGAACCUCCUCACAGUAACUUAAAUAUGGUAAAACAAGUGUACUGUAGAGGGUAUGGAGAGAUUUGUGAUUUAUUUAUCUAUUGUUACCCCAACAAAUGUGUAUACAUAAACUAUUUAAAUGCUGACACCAUCUAUUUGUAGCUGUAUUUUUGUGUUUGCUUUAUAUUUACCAAAUAAAAUAAUUUUUAUGUGAUUCAAA